rnacentral:rRNA from 1 species
AGUGAACGCUGGCGGUAGGCCUAACACAUGCAAGUCGGACGGCAGCACAGUAAGAGCUUGCUCUUACGGGUGGCGAGUGGCGGACGGGUGAGGAAUACAUCGGAAUCUACUUUUUCGUGGGGGAUAACGUAGGGAAACUUACGCUAAUACCGUAUACGACCUACGGGUGAAAGCAGGGGAUCUUCGGACCUUGCGCGAUUGAAUGAGCCGAUGUCGGAUUAGCUAGUUGGCGGGGUAAAGGCCCACCAAGGCGACGAUCCGUAGCUGGUCUGAGAGGAUGAUCAGCCACACUGGAACUGAGACACGGUCCAGACUCCUACGGGAGGCAGCAGUGGGGAAUAUUGGACAAUGGGCGCAAGCCUGAUCCAGCCAUACCGCGUGGGUGAAGAAGGCCUUCGGGUUGUAAAGCCCUUUUGUUGGGAAAGAAAAGCAGCAGGUUAAUACCCCGCUGUUCUGACGGUACCCAAAGAAUAAGCACCGGCUAACUUCGUG